rnacentral:rRNA from 1 species
UACGGGGGGAGCAAGCGUUGUUCGGAUUUACUGGGCGUAAAGGGCGCGUAGGCGGCCACCGCAAGUCGACUGUGAAAUCUCCGGGCUUAACCCGGAAAGGUCAACUGAUACUGUGCGGCUAGAGUGCAGAAGGGGCAACUGGAAUUCUCGGUGUAGCGGUGAAAUGCGUAGAUAUCGAGAGGAACACCUGCGGCGAAGGCGGGUUGCUGGGCUGACACUGACGCUGAGGCGCGAAAGCUAGGGGAGCGAACGGG